rnacentral:rRNA from 1 species
UACGGGAGGCAGCAGUGGGGAAUAUUGCACAAUGGGCGCAAGCCUGAUGCAGCCAUGCCGCGUGUAUGAAAAGGCCUUCGGGUUGUAAAGUACUUUCAGUCGUGAGGAAGGUGUUAAGGUUAAUAACCUUAGCAAUUGACGUUAGCGACAGAAGAAGCACCGGCUAACUCCGUGCCAGCAGCCGCGGUAAUACGGAGGGUGCGAGCGUUAAUCGGAAUUACUGGGCGUAAAGGGCACGCAGGCGGUUAAUUAAGUUGGAUGUGAAAUCCCCGGGCUUAACCUGGGAAUGGCAUUCAAGACUGGUUUAGCUAGAGUCUUGUAGAGGGGGGUAGAAUUCCAUGUGUAGCGGUGAAAUGCGUAGAGAUGUGGAGGAAUACCGGUGGCGAAGGGCGGGCCCCCUGGGACAAAGACUGACGCUCAUGUGUGAAAGCGUGGGGAGCAAACAGGGAUUAGAUACC